rnacentral:lncRNA from 1 species
GGGUGUCGAUCGUAGUGGUACAGUCCAGACAAACACGUGAGGAAGCAUUUGGGUGAUUUUGAGCGGCGGCUUCGUGAAAUGAUAAACAAACUUGUGGAUUUAGGAACCGCCCAUCUAUUCAUGCGGAUGCAGGAGAAAAACAGGUGAGCUGCAGUGAGCUGACCACGUGUCGUCAUCACUGCCCUGAAGAGCUUCUGCUGUUUCUGAAGGAUGAACAAGAAAGAAAUGCCAGCAAAGAAAACGUUCUGGAUUCCAACCCAGAAAAUGAAGGACUGAGAGAACACCCGUUAACGGAAUGAGCCAUCUCAUCCAGACCAGGUCUGAGAGCUUCAGACUCUGAAACCUCAUUGGAGAGAGACAUCACUGUAGCCCAUCUUCCCCAGCAGGAGCUCUUCCCUGGGUGUGGUGUGUUCAUCUCAUCGUUCCGCCUUGCUGCCAUGAACCACGCAUCGAAACC